AUAAGACUACUACGACGAUAAUAAUCGACCGGGAAUGUGUCGUGAUUUCUUUUCGGUCGUUACACGGGCCGCACACAUGGGUGGCGUACUCUAUGUAUGCGCGCUAGACGUCCUCCUAUAAAUUAUCGUGUGCCGCCGCCGUACGUGUAAAUAUAAAUCUGCUUCUUUGAAGAGCGCCAAGUGAAUAUAAUGCAGCGAUAAUAAUAAUGUAUAAUAUGCGCGUGUGUACGAGACGGGAGGGGGAGGUACAAGAGGAAGAAACCGAGAGAAUCCGUAAGAGUGUAUCCUUAACUUCGAAGGCGCGGGUAAACUGUGGCAACCGCCAGUAACGACUACGGGAGUGAGACCGGUGACUCGGCGGUGGUAUGUGCAAAAUUAUAAUUACCAUCACGGAGAUUUAUUUUUAAAUUUUUUUUUUUCUCUUCAAUAUAUUUCCAACUGCAUAGCAAACGACCGGACGUCGGUGACGUUUAAUUGAAAUUUCCGAAAAAUGCAUUUUAUCGUGUCUAUAUUAAACAUGUCAAUUAUAACAUCGAUUAUAUAUAAUGGAUACAGGCUGAAUUGGUUAUCGGGCGUUCCUGAAUCUUCUUUCGCCCGCCAAUUUAAGUUUACAAUUAGU